rnacentral:misc_RNA from 1 species
AAGCAGCCCGGCCUGAGUGAAGCUCAUUUUUUUUGCUUUGAAGUGAGGCUGGCAAAAAAAUAGCGGGAACGGAGGACGGAUUAGCU